UAAAAUAUAAUAAUAUAAUAAUAAUAAUAAUAUAAUAAUAAUAUAUAAUUCCUAUUAAUAAUAAAGUACGGAUUGACUCCGUGGCUUCAUCGUCACAAUACGCUUUCUUCAUGUGAAUUUAUGCUUUCAGUUUGGAUCUAAGUUUCUAACCAAGGUGGUACUAAUUUUCUGUACUAACUUCUUCAAACCUAUUAAAAUAUUUGUACAUAAAGUGGCAUCAUUACGCUCACCCAUCCCGGCUGGGCCAUAUCAAGCAGCCCAUCCGCACUCCAAAAUAGGCCCAUGCAAGCCUCACAUGCUUUGAAUCCUACAGGCCCGGUUGUAAUACAAAGGAAACGAGGUAAAAAACAUGCAGGUUACCAGAGUUCGAACUCAGGACCUGCAGUUUGAUAAAUAUUGUAGCGACCAACCCAUCCAGCACACCUUGCAUGUUCAAUCCAAAGUUUACUUUCCUACUAAAUAGUACCGCCUCGCUGCUUUACAUCCAACUCACCCAAUUUAAAUAUGUCUUUGAGUUUCUUGGGUAUUAGGAAGCAGUGAAUCAUGAGAAAGAUAUUACAAAGGAAAGAGAGGCUAAUUAUUAUUGCACGCCCAUUUAAAAGAGGAUUUCCAACGUGAUCAAAAUAAGGAAGGAAAAAGUAGCUCAGGGAAUAAGGAAGGAAAGAGAGACUAAUUGGCAUUCUAUAUAUGUGAUGGGCUAUAUUAUAAACGAGAAAGAAAAUAGAGCCUAAUUCGCAUUCUAUAUAUGUGGUCGGCUAUAAACGGAUCCAAGGAAACAUGCAAAAAAGAAAUCAAAGGCAUCCACCAGGGCCAACCUUUUACACUCAUCCGGCCGUGCUCUUAAUAAUAGAUCGCACACACCAAUAGGUAGGGAAAUAAAAAAAAGUUGGCAUUCCUAAGGAAACGAGCGGCAGGCACUUCUAAAACAUAAUACUAUAAAACAGUAGACAUAAAACAUAUUUUUGUGGGGAAUUAAUAUGCAAAUAUAGGUACAAGAUAAUAUAGACACUUGAUGCAUUGCAUCUGAAGUUAUAUCAUGUGUUAAUUAUUUAUUUUAUAGCCUCUGUAAUCAUGAAAUGAGCCUUGGCAAGCUAGCUGCUGAGACUGCAUGCACGCGAGACGGACCCCAUCCAAAUUCCAGGGGUGCCAAAAUCAGAGAUUGAUAUUACUAGGUCAAGACAUAUUGUUCAAAGAAAAACAACUACUGGUCAAGUGAUUAGGUGCUAAUGGGCUUUUAAGAGCUAAAUAAAUGAAAAGGACUCGCCCUAAAAUACAGGCCAACCUCACGUCUCUCUCUCUCUCCCUGUAUUUUUGUUUCUCAUUCACUGCAUGGUUCUUAGUAGAGCGACCCCAUCCCAUGUGAUGCCUGCCAUUCAUGGUCUCCAACCUUUCACCCCUCUAAAGUUUCUACUGUCAUAAUUUUUGUUCUUUCUGAUACAUCAUUAAUUUGGGUAGAUUUAAAUUUUAAGAUAAAAUGUGAACUCCCUGAAAAAAUAUGUAGCACCGCAAUAAUUUAUACAGAUAUUUUAAUUUAUAUUUUUUAAAUAUAGGGCCUAAUUUUGAUUUUGCACAAGACCCCGAAUUUUGAAGGUACGACCAUUCAGAAGAAAAGUUAGUACAUGUCUCCAAACUCCAUCGUAUGGCAAUGUCUUCACUGGACUUUGUUUCAGUUUACAACAAUAUAUAUUUAUGAGGUAAAAUACCAUGUUAUUUUUUAUAAGCACAAAUAUAAUAAGUGGAGCUUAUGGCUACACCGGUGCCAAAAAAUUGGUCACUCGCAAAGAUUAAAAGAUAAUGCAUUGCCAGUUAAAGUAAAUAAUUAACACAUGCACUUUGAUUAAUAAAUAUGGAAAAAAUGUACAGUGGAUUAAAAUUAGUAACAGUAAUUCAGCUAUAUAAUAGACAAAUCCAAAUGCUCAUUUAAUGAUUUGAUUCUUUACUGAGGAAAUUUAUUAAUUUCUUAAUAAUCUUAAAGUGAUUUUGUUAGCUAGCCUAAUUUGUUAGUUACAUUAAAAGGUCAUAAAUUUGAUGGUAUGUACUAUUAAUAAUCUUUGUGCUUAUUUAUUAAUGAUAGGAAGUUAUGUUAAUAAACAUAUGGCUAGCAGUAUUUGCUUUGCUCUGUACCAAAGCACGGGUGUAGUCUCGGGCACUGUAAUCAUUGUCGGUGACAGUGGGAAGGAGGACGUCCAUUGUCACGGAUGGGCGUUAUGUUGAGAAAAGGAUUUGACCUAUGGGGUCUUGAAACAGGAGCGUGCAAUUUUUUCUCUCCCGUUGCAAAGCACGGGCAUUUUUGCUAGUAAUAAUAAAGCACGGAUUGACUCCGUGGGUUCAUCGUCAUAAUACGCUUUCUCCCUGUGAUUUUACGCUUUUAGUUUAAAUUUAAAACAUAUUCGAGGUGGUACUAAAGCGUUAUUACUAAUAAAGAGGUUAUUGGUUUUCGUCUGUAUAAGUCGCUAAGUUUCUUCCGUCCGGCCCGCUUGACUGGGCCGUGUUGAUCGUUCCCUGUCAACCGCGUGAUGACUGAACUGGGCCUGGUCAACACUUCCCCUCCUACGCCAGAGAGCUUUCCCCCGCGGGCCGCGCAGGCAACUCCUCCUCCUCCUCUACCUCCGCCUCCCUGCGUCGCUCGCCGGGCCGGAGGACGACGACGAGCCCUUACUGGAAGAGGAGGAGGAGGGCACCGUCGAGCUCGUGCAGCUCGGCGCCAGCCACGGCAAGAACGUCCUCAUCCUCACGAGCGACACCGGCGGGGGUCACCGCGCCUCCUCCGAAGCCAUCAAGGACGCCUUCGGCGACGACUACCGAUCUUCGUCAAGGAUCUCUGCAAGGACCACGCCGGCGGGCCGCUCAACAACAUGGGGGGCUCUUACAAGUUCAUGGUGAAGCACGUACAACUCUGGAAGCUGCCCUUCCACGGCACAUCGCCAAGAUGGUCUGAUUCCGAUUAUACAGCACUGCGAUGCUACCUCUACUGAACACACGUGUAACUACAGUUGAAGGAUCACAAAUAUAUGGUCCAGCAAUGCACGGUAAAUCUGUAUCCAGGCAGAUUCAGUCCACCUCUUCACCACCGUGACCCACACCUACGACCUGGCUUGGUUGUGGUGCUAAUUCAGCAAUGCAAGUCUGAUCCCUUCAACUCUCAGGUGUCUUAUUCCACUACUUCAUGAUGAUGCUUGGGUGCGUACUUGGAUGGUUAUACUAUGUGAUUAGAUUGAUUUUUUAGGAUCCCCGACUCCCCGUACAUACAUUGUUCACCAUACAAAGCUAAAAUACAACACUUUCAGAUGUUGUACAGACUGUACAACACAAGCAUGGCAACAAGUGUAUUAAGAAUAGAGAAAUCAUUGCAAAUUAUCUGCUUGAUUUUUUUGGAUUCCAGCGUGACGGUGUGGCCGUCUGACUGGAAUUGAAAAUGUUGGUGUUGUUCUGAAUUCUGAUAAUGUUGAUUAGCAGGGAGUGGGUUCAGAGUAGGGAUGGCGGGAGCGUUUGAGUUGUACUGGCAGUCCGCCAUCGGCAGGGCCGUCAUGGAGACGCUGGACGAGAUGGUCCUUAGCCCCGAUCAUGCCAUCAGCGUCCAAGUACAGUUCGAUGAGUUCAUGAGCACUGGACAACCAGCUCAAGAGCAAGGCCUUCUUCAAUGUACCAACCAUAAUGCCACGUCUCUUUUUUGUUCCACACAUUCAUCACUACACUGUACAUAUUCCAAAGGAAUAAUGCUGAAAUAACGUGUUGUUGCGACAUGUUAGUGUAACGGUACUAAUGCAGAUGAAUUUUUUGUAGGGAAGAUGCAGAUGACUUGUGUGCUUGAUUAUGGUUGGCUUGUGUGCUUAAUUAUGAAGUUAAUUACUCGGCCGCCACAGGGAAUUAUUCUUUUGGGAUCAUAUUUAUUCUCCGCAAAAAGUAAUCUCAACUUGCUUAAAGGCCACAUUUGGCAGUUGCUUAAACCUUCUGGACAAGACACACAGACAUACAACUAUGUGACAACUUAAUGCCUUUGGGAAUUUUGAUUGCUUUUCCUAACAAGAAAAUAUAACAAUAGCUGCGAAUGUUAAUUACUUAGUUUAUCAAAGGUAAAAUGUCUGCUACAUGACAAGUAUGUGGAUUGAUUUUAUGUGAACCGACUAAUUGGAUGGUUUGGUUCCUUGUGCUACGUUUUGAAAAAGAACGUACUUAUAUGUUCCACUGUAUUGAUAUCAUAUGGCGAAUUACAUAUUUGUUACUAGCUAAAGCUGAAGAAAUGUUUACGCAAAGAACAUUCAUUUUCACAUUGCUUGGCAUGCGUCUAGGUCAUUCUAUUUAUUACCAUUGCUGAAAGUUGUACUUCUCUGCAUGCCGAUAGUUUCAUUCGAAUAGCUCUUCCUAGAUUUUUCUUUAGUUCAUUCCAUCCAGUAGUUUGAUAGCUUUGUGAUUAUUUUGAGAAAAAAUGAUCUGUCUUGCAGACUAAAAACAAUCUCAUCCAGUAGUUUGAUAUUUUGGUCAUUAUUCCAAACUAAUUGAUCCAUGUAGCAGACCGAAAACAAUUAGAUGCUGAUGCAAUCAUGGCCUGAGAUUAUUAACGAGUGAGGACACGCAUAGGGUUGCUUCCUACUGGUGCAUAACUAUUUUCUUUCUACAUGUACUAUGUUGAUUCUUCAGAGAUCUCGUCUUCAUGAGACUAGCGAAGGGGGUAUACGUUAGGAAGAAGGGGAGAUGGGGAAUUAAUCAGAUAGUAUAUGGGCUGAAUAAUUUUGAACUAGCUACUAUUUCUAAAUGGAGUGCCAUGUUCAAAUAGAGGAAGUGAAGUUGUGGUGGGUUCUGAGCCAUGCUUCAGGAUAGGGGUGUACCAUAUUAUUUUUCUCCCGUUGCAAUGCACGGACUUUUUUGCUAGAAGAUCUCUUGCCCUUUUCUUUGUACGUAGUAAAUGUACACUCAAGCUUUGUUUAAAUAGAAGACAUGUGGAAUCUUGAACUUGCGCUUUUGUAGGCAAAAACCAUCUUUGUUUGGGUCGUAGUUACAAAUACUCAAAUUAUAGACCAUUUUGUGUAAAUUAAGAGUGUGCGGUAUUC